UACGUAGGGUGCAAGCGUUGUCCGGAAUUAUUGGGCGUAAAAGAGCUCGUAGGCGGUUUGUUGCGUCGGCUGUGAAAAUCCCCGAGGCUCAACCUCGGGUCUGCAGUCGAUACGAGCAAAACUAGAGUGUUUGCAGGGGGAGACUGGAAUUCCUGGUGUAGCGGUGAAAUGCGCAGAUAUCAGGGAGGGAAACACCCGGGUG
rnacentral:rRNA from 1 species